CUCAUAAGGUGCUGAAGGAGUAAAGAACAAUGAGCUUGUGAUUCAUAAUAACUUUACGAUCGCAUCUCUGAUGCGACAUAUCAUCAAGUUUCUGACCUAAUCAGCUUUAGACGGUAGGGUAUUGCCCUACCCGUGGCUAUGACGGGUAACGGGGAAAUUAGGUUCCGAUUCCGAGGAGGGACCCGAGGAAACGCCUACCCCUCCUAAGAAAGGCACCAGCCGGCCAAAUUACCCAUCCCGACACCAGGGAGGUAGUGCCAGGAAUUACCAAUCCAGGCCUUACCGUCCUGGUAAUUGGAAGGAGGGAAGAAUAACCCCCUUUCGGAGUACCAAUGGGAGGCCAAUUCGGGUCCCACCACCCGGGGUAAUUCCAGUUCCAAUAGGGUUUAUAAAAGUGGUGCCAGUUAAAAAGUUGGAAGUGGAAUUUUUGUGGUAUAAUUUAUAAUAUUACCAAGGUAAUUAUUAUAUUAUCAACAUCCUUCCUAUUAUAUUCUAAAUAUAUAGGAAAUUUUACUUUGAGAAAAUUAGAGUGCUUAAAGCAGGCAACUGCCUUGAAUACUCCAGCAUGGAAUAAUAAGUAAGGACUUUUGUCUUUCUUAUUGGUUCUAGGACAAAAGUAAUGGUUAAUAGGGACAGUUGGGGGCAUUCGUAUUUAACAGCCAGAGGUGAAAUUCUUAGAUUUGUUAAAGACGAACUACUGCGAAAGCAUUUGCCAAGGAUGUUUUCAUUAAUCAAGAACGAAAGUUAGGGGAUCGAAGACGAUCAGAUACCGUCGUAGUCUUAACCAUAAACUAUGCCGACUAGAGAUUGGAGGUUCUUUAUCUAAUAAAUACAACCCUUCC
rnacentral:rRNA from 1 species